UACGAAGGGGGCGAGCGUUGUUCGGAUUUACUGGGCGUAAAGGGCGCGCAGGCGGCUUUGGAAGUCAGAUGUGAAAGCCCCGGGCUUAACCUGGGAAUUGCAUUUGAUACUCUGGAGCUAGAGUGUGGGAGAGGAUAGUGGAAUUCCCAGUGUAGAGGUGAAAUUCGUAGAUAUUGGGAAGAACACCGGUGGCGAAGGCGGCUAUCUGGACCACAACUGACGCUGAGGCGCGAAAGCGUGGGGAGCAAACAGGAUUAGAUACCCUGGUAGUCCACGCCGUAAACGAUGUGCGCUAGACGUUGGAGGGCUUAGCCUUUCAGUGUCGAAGCUAACGCGAUAAGCGCACCGCCUGGGGAGUACGGUCGCAAGAUUAAA
rnacentral:rRNA from 1 species